rnacentral:tRNA from 1 species
UAGAUUGAAGCCAGCUGAUUAGGGUAUUUACCUGUUAACUAAGAUUUCACGGGAUGGAAGCCCACCGAUCUAG